GACAGAGGUCCCAAGCGUUGUUCGGAUUUACUGGGCGUAAAGGGCGCGCAGGCGGCCGGGCCAGUCUGACGUGAAAGCCCGCAGCUCAACUGCGGAAGGGCGUGCGGAUACUACCCGGCUCGAGGGUUGGAGGGGGGACUGGAAUUCUCGGUGUAGCGGUGAAAUGCGUAGAGAUCGAGAAGAACACCAGUGGCGAAGGCGAGUCCCUGGACAACUCCUGACGCUCAGGCGCCAAAGCCAGGGGA
rnacentral:rRNA from 1 species